CAGUCGCCACGGUAAUACGAAGGUCCCGAGCGUUGUUCGGAAUCACUGGGCGUAAAGGGAGCGUAGGCGGCGUGGUAAGUCAGAUGUGAAAUCCCGGGGCUCAACCCCGGAACUGCAUCCGAUACUGCCAUGCUAGAGGAUUGGAGAGGUAGCUGGAAUUCUUGGUGUAGCAGUGAAAUGCGUGGAGAUCAAGAGGAACACUCGUGGCGAAAGCGAGCUACUGGACAAUAACUGACGCUGAGGCUCGAAGGCCAGGGUAGCGAAAGGGAUUAGAUACCCGGGUAGUCCCUGUCUCUUAUAC
rnacentral:rRNA from 1 species